rnacentral:lncRNA from 10 species
GAAUUUGCCCUGACAGACACAGAGCCUGGGGCUGGAGAUUUUCUGAGAUGCCUCAGGCUCCUUCCCACAAAUUUCGCAUCAGCUUGAGCUCAGUGGGAGUAGAAUCUGCCACCGACAAACUCCUAAGAUGGCUUUGUUCAUUCCCACCUUCAUCAUAAAUCAGGUUGGGGUGGAGAAGCAAUAUCCCUAAGGGAAAAAUAAAAGUCUCCAAGCUAGGACUUUCAGCCUGGGGCCUGACAUUGCACAGAAAAUGGCCACUGCAGUCUCACAGGAACGCAGCCAGUCAAUGGUUUUCCUGAAACAAACUCUCAUCAUCUGAGAGAACCUGCAUGCACCUCUGCUCCCUGCACCCCAGAGGGAACCAGCAGUGUGCCCUGGGAAAAGCUGGGGCCCCACAGGUCCCAGUCUCUGAACAGGGUCUCGUAUAAAGAAGCACCGUCCAGCAACUAUUGCAGCAUUCACUGGCAUCUCGAAGACAGUAUCAACGAGUAUCUACAUCACAACCCGUAACCUCGCUCCUCAAGUUCCCUGUCCUCCCCUCCCAACCCCUGUACCCACAGCUGAUCGUGAGCCUCACACCCACCCACCUCCAGCAGUGCCAGAUUCACUCCUUACUUCCCCACUCUCUUCAUAUGGAGAGUGACAGCUUCCCUAGGUCGUAGAAGAAAACAACAUGGACCACUUGCCAGCGUCUCUUUGAACAGAGAAGCUACUGCUGUCUAAGGCAUUUUGUUCCCAUGAGGGAAGAGUCUGGGAGAGAAGCAACCUGGUGGAGAGUGGGCCUAAGACACGGAGAGAGGAUGUUGAUGCCGUGAGUUCCCAAUCCCGCCGCGCCCGUCAGACUUACCCUCAGCUUUCCAGUCUCAGGAGCCAACACUCUUUCCUUCAGCCAGAUCAAGGUCCUUGUCACUUACAGCCAACACCACAACUGAUACAAAAGGGAAGGACACAAAACAAUUGUGGAGAAAGCCGUCUGGAUGGAGCCAGCAGCUUCGCUACCAUCGAGUGGCAUUUCCAGAGAGCAGAUGCACGCGGAGGGGUGUAGUUUGAAGGAAGACCUGGCGGGAUUUGCUAAUGAAUUGGAUAGCAGCGUAGUGAAAGAGACCCUCAGGAAUGACUUCCGGUUUUUAGGCUAAGGAAUUGCAAGAAUGGAACCAUGAACGGAGAUGUUGGUUUAGACCAGUCGCCCUCUGGACCAAGCUGCUGUGAGCAUGGAUUUAACAAAAUGUCAGCCCCACUGGGUAUGAUUUUCAAGUAUGAAUUCAAAACCUAUGGUGAGUUUCUACCAGUUUAAUCAAAAGUCCUUUUAUUUUGUUCUGGGUAAACACAGCUACGUCUGGGGUUUGCAUGCAAAGCAGUGGCUUUGACUUUCUUUUCGUUUUUUUGUAAAGCAGUAUUCAUCCAGUUAUGAGAAAACCACUUUUGCUUAUUGACCUUCUAAAAUGUCGGCAUUGUAAAUCAAAUCACUUGCAAAAAAUCCUCCAAAACAUAAUUUUUCAAAGCUUUCAUCCCUAAAGAAGUCAAUGUAUAAGGAAUAAGUGGUGAACGAGCCAGGGUCCUCUUCUCCUCUCUAGAGGAGGUAAAACGUCCUGGGCUGGGAGAGAGAGGAAGAGAAGCCAGAGGUUGGAUGGUGGGCAGCUUUUGAGAAGGGGUUUCAUGUUCUGCCCUUCCUGGGUCAGUUUCAUGGAAGGUCCCCAAUGCACGAACAAAUCAGAGAGGCCUGGAGCGGUAGGAGCUCAAGGGCAGAGCCAUGAGCUGCGUUCCGGCGACAGAGGAGACAUGGCUGGUUCGCGUCGUGUCUGCAUCUGAGCAGAGAGCUUGCCUCUGCUUUGUGAGUUUCUCCAGCCCUGAGUGGGGAGUGGAGCAGCCUCUUCCCCUACCCCACCCCUGUGUCCAGGGAUGCUCAGAAGUCCCCGAAGUAAAGGCAGACUUGGAGACACCUGGAGCCUGGGAAUGCGGGAGGGGAUGGACUGGAUGAUGUCUUUGUGAAUCUCUCAAGGAUGGGCAGGAUGUGGUCCAUCUCAGUGGAUAGUGGCCUGCAGCGCAGGUGACUGGCAGACAGGUGUGUCCCCAGUCUCCACUGCUGCAGCCGGCAAGGCCCUCUGGAAACCUUGCUGCAACCUCUGAUGGGAACAGCCCCGGUGGAUGGGAAGCUGCUGUCUGGAUGAAGAGUGAUUCAAGGAAGCUAUGGAUGGAGUUAGGGAAAUACAGCAUUGCAUUUCAUUCUGGGUCUGAUGCGUGUGCCUGACUCAGGGUGGGGCUUCUCUGGGACUGUUAAGAAGUGUGUAUGAGUUCUCUAUGAGAAUUUAAAUGUGCAUAUAUUUGGGUCCCUCCAAAAUUCCUAGGUUGAAGUCCUCACCCCUACUGUGAUGGAAUCAGGAAGAGAAGCCUUUGGGAGGUGAUUAGGUCAUGGAGGGUGGGGCUCUCAUAGAUGGGAUGAGUGCCGUUAUAUAAAGCCAGAGCAAAGAGAGCUCCCUUGUUCCUGCGUCUGUGGGAGGACGGCGCCACCCAAGAACCAGGAGGGACACACUCAGCAGACACCCAAUCUGCUGGUGCCUUAAUCCUGGACUUCCCAACCUCCGGAAUGAUGAGCAAUAAAGUUCUGUUGUUUGUAAGCCAUCCAGUCUGUGGUGUUCGGUUAUAGCAUCCUGAACAGACUAAGACAAUGUUUUGUAAGAGCCCAUUUGGGUUUCCUGGGUGGCCCACAGGAGCUAUGCAGGGGUUCUGGGGUCUGUGCCUUUGGGACUAGAUGACGCAGCUGUCAGAGCCUGUGGCUUGGCUUGGUCAGCGCCUGCCCUUCCCUCCAGUCUCCUCCAUCUUGGCUCCCACCCCUCCUGCCCCCACUGCUCCCCCAGCUCCAGAUUCUUCACCUUAUGAUGUUCCAUAAAGGAAUGCAGCUCUCCCCAGCUCAAGUCCCACAGCCUCUCACCUGAACUCCUGAAGGUGCUCAGCAGAACCCAGAGCCCUCCAUCUGGCAGGAUGAGUCCUCACUCUAGGAACCAUGGGAACCACAGACUCCACCUGAGGCAGCAGCUGCUGCGCACAGAGCAG